UACGUAGGGUGCAAGCGUUGUCCGGAAUUAUUGGGCGUAAAGAGCUCGUAGGCGGUUUGUUACGUCUGCUGUGAAAACCUAGGGCUUAACCCUGGGCCUGCAGUGGAUACGGGCAGACUAGAGGUAGGUAGGGGAGAAUGGAAUUCCCGGUGUAGCGGUGAAAUGCGCAGAUAUCGGGAGGAACACCGGUGGCGAAGGCGGUUCUCUGGGCCUUACCUGACACUGAGGAGCGAAAGCGUGGGGAGCAAACAGG
rnacentral:rRNA from 1 species